GGAGAGGUGGCCGAGCGGCUUAAGGCAACGGUUUGCUAAACCGUCGUACGGGUAUACGCCCGUACCCGGGGUUCGAAUCCCCGCCUCUCCG
rnacentral:tRNA from 1 species